rnacentral:lncRNA from 1 species
CCAAGCUUACAAUCUUAAUUUAUUGGCUUUGUGGGAAGCAGACUUGUAGGUUGAAGAAACCACUGUGUGCAUGCACAAUGUGGAAGUCUGAUAGACCACGUUAUAAUACGCAAGUCACUCGGAUCUCAAGCCCUCGGUCUUCCUUAGGACUGUGCAAGUGCUCGUUAAGAGCAAACAUGAAGGCAGACCAGAAUGCCAAACAUGAAAUGUGAGUAUCAACAAUAACAUGGAAAAAAAGGAAGAAGAUGGUUUCAGACUUAUAUUAGUCAAGAAUAUUGACAUAUAUAUAUGUGUCUCUCUACCUUGUCGAGAGAUCCACUCAUCGGGUGGUCAAGAUGUGGGACAUGGUUUCAUCCUCUGCAUGCCUUCGUGAGUGCAUGCAAGCACGACACGUCGGUGAUGUCGAUGGCGACAAUAGUGUAGAUUUACUUGCGUCAUGGAAUGACAAAGAAGCCCUCCUUGCUAAGGAUGGAUUUGUGUCUAUUCCAAGUUCAUUUCUGUCGGUCAAAUGCAGUUCUUACUGGUUGAGAAAAUCCAGAAUUUGAUUAAACUAUCCAAUCUGAGACCACCAACAAGACAUGCCACUCCGGUCCGAGCAGCAGCCGCUGACACUCGAGACCCUAAAGCGCCACAAGAGCAGCAUCCUUUGUCCACCUGUUCAUCUGCUUUGGCUGAGUGAUGCAUUGCAUCACGUCAUCACGGAGCAUCACAUCACAUCGCCAAUAAAGAGAUCAAACUGCGGCCACACAUGUGUCCUCCAUACAGAACCCUACUUGGCUUCCUGAGCAAAACCAGUUGCUUCCAGGCCAGCAGCGCUAAGGAGCGUUCUCGCCUUCUCGUCCUCGGAAUGCAUUGAAGAAGAUGAGGCCACCCUCUGCUUUAUGCUGCACACAGGACGAACACAAACACGCUGCUGCCGCCAACGUCGCAGCGCCCACGGCACAUAGAGGGCGACAACGGCGCGUUACUGAGAUGGGGCCCCACUCGGAGCUGGCGAAUUGGAAAACGGGCGAGGCAGCGCCCAGUCAAAACCGCCCGGCACCGUUCACCGUCCCACGAAAACCGGGGCACCGUACCGCGAUCUCCGGC